AUUGAGGAAUAUGCUUUUUCCAGAACAUCUGUUUGGAGUCGGGAGGGGCAAAAAACGCCUCAUAGAUUAACUGUGUGGUUUCCUUUACUCAUAGAACUACCUGUUAGAUCUGUGGGAAAGAACUACAAGACAGAG
ensembl:snoRNA